rnacentral:rRNA from 1 species
UAGGGAAUCUUCCGCAAUGGGCGAAAGCUUGACGGAGCAACGCCGCGUGAGUGAUGAAGGUCUUCGGAUCGUAAAACUCUGUUAUUAGGGAAGAACAAAUGUGUAAGUAACUAUGCACGUCUUGACGGUACCUAAUCAGAAAGCCACGGCUAACUACGUGCCAGCAGCCGCGGUAAUACGUAGGUGGCAAGCGUUAUCCGGAAUUAUUGGACGUAAAGCGCGCGUAGGCGGUUUUUUAAGUCUGAUGUGAAAGCCCACGGCUCAACCGUGGAGGGUCAUUGGAAACUGGAAAACUUGAGUGCAGAAGAGGAAAGUGGAAUUCCAUGUGUAGCGGUGAAAUGCGCAGAGAUAUGGAGGAACACCAGUGGCGAAGGCGACUUUCUGGUCUGUAACUGACGCUGAUGUGCGAAAGCGUGGGGAUCAAACAGG